rnacentral:rRNA from 1 species
UACGUAGGGGGCAAGCGUUGUCCGGAAUCAUUGGGCGUAAAGAGCGUGUAGGCGGCCCGAUAAGUCCGCUGUGAAAGUCCAGGGCUCAACCCUGGAAUGCCAGUGGAAACUGUCGGGCUAGAGUCCGGAAGAGGCGAGUGGAAUUCCUGGUGUAGCGGUGAAAUGCGCAGAUAUCAGAAGGAACACCGAUGGCGAAGGCAGCUCGCUGGGACGGUACUGACGCUGAGACGCGAAAGCGUGGGGAGCAAACAGG